rnacentral:ncRNA from 1 species
AUUUAAUUUGGCUUUGGUUAUUAUAUAGGUUGUUAUUAAGUAUAUACAUGUUAGAUUUAAUAUAAAUCGUUUUACUUAAAUGUUUGAUAUUUUUUAAUUUAAUAUUUUAAAAAUAUUAAAUUAAUUUAUUAAUAAAUUAUUAUUAUAAAUAAUUUUAAGUUACACAGUAUUUAUAUUUAUACAAUGAAUGGAAGUUUGAUAUAGUUAAUAUAUUUAAAGGUGGAUAAAUUGGUGCCAGCAUCUGCGGUUAUACCAAUUACCUUAAGUUUAUAUUUAUAUAGUAUAAAAUAAAGUACUUUAAUGGAAAAUAGAAUAAAUGAGAAUAAUAAUUAUAGGUAAAAUUUAAAUUAUUUUUAUUAAUUAAAUUAUUCUAAUUAAUAUUCUUUGAAAAUAAGGUUAAUAGACUAGGAUUAGAGACCCUAUUAUUCUUUAUAUUAAAAAAUUUUACACUUAAGUAGUAUAGAUAUAAAAUAUUAUAUUUAAUUUUAAUAAUAUCUGAAAUUUAAAAGGCUUGGCGGUGUUAUAUAUCCUUCCAGGGGAGUUUGCUUAUUAAUUUGAUAAUCCUCAAUUUAUACUUACUUUUUUUUGAAUAAAACAGUUUGUAUAUUGCUGUCGUCAGUUUAUUUUGUAAAAAUUUUGUAAAAAACUUAAUAAUUUUUAGGUUAUUAUGUCAAGUCAAAAUGCAGCUAAUAAAAAAGGUUUAAAGUGAACUACAAUUUAUAAUUUUUAAUCGGAUUAAUUUAUGUAAUUAGUUUAUGAAGUUGGACUUGGUAGUAAUAAAAAUUAUUUUAAAUAGUGAGUUUUUAUGAAUUAGGUUUUAUGAUGCGUACAUAUCGCCCGUCGCUCUUGUUGGGAAAUAAGAUAAGUCGUAACAUAGUAGGGGUAGUGGAAGCUGUUCCUGGUUGAAU